GGUGAGGUGCGAGAGUGGUUGAAUCGAGCGGUCUCGAAAACCGCCGUACCCGAAAGGGUACCGUGGGUUCGAAUCCCACCCUCACCGCCA
rnacentral:tRNA from 1 species